rnacentral:rRNA from 1 species
CCUACGGGAGGCAGCAGUGAGGAAUAUUGGUCAAUGGACGAGAGUCUGAACCAGCCAAGUCGCGUGAAGGAUGACUGCCCUAUGGGUUGUAAACUUCUUUUAUAAAGGAAUAAAACGAGGCACGUGUGCCUUUUUGCAUGUACUUUAUGAAUAAGGAUCGGCUAACUCCGUGCCAGCAGCCGCGGUAAUACGGAGGAUCCGAGCGUUAUCCGGAUUUAUUGGGUUUAAAGGGAGCGUAGAUGGGUUGUUAAGUCAGUGGUGAAAGUUUGCGGCUCAACCGUAAAAUUGCAAUUGAUACUGGCAGUCUUGAGUACAGUUGAGGUAGGCGGAAUGCGUGGUGUAGCGGUGAAAUGCUUAGAUAUCACGAAGAACCCCGAUUGCGAAGGCAGCUUACUAAACUGUGACUGACAUUGAUGCUCGAAAGUGUGGGGAUCAAACAGGAUUAGAUACCCCUGUAGUC